GCCCCGAUGGCGGAAUUGGCAGACGCAGCAGACUUAAAAUUUGCCAGCCGUAUGGCUGUGCCGGUUCAACCCCGGCUCGGGGCACCA
rnacentral:tRNA from 3 species